UGGACUAAUGAUGACCACUGUGAUGUAUGAGUCAAGGAUCGUGAUGAUAGGUCUGGAAGUCUGAGGUCCAA
ensembl:snoRNA